CAACAAUAUAAAUGCCGCCAGCCACCUUGCGACAUGAGUUCUAAGUCUUCGUUUUUAUAGUACAACGGCUGCCCCGCCCUUCAAACCGAAAUGCUUUACUGCUUCACGGCAGAAAUAGGCAGGAUAGUGAUACCUUCCCGUGCGGACUCACAAUACGUCCUACCACCAGUAAAAUCUAGGCCAAUUUGAAAUAAAAGUAAAAUUAACAUCACCACACGAUCGCUUGCAGUCCUACCUUGCGAAAUGAUAUGAAAAUCCCAGUGACAUUUUAAUGCGACCAUUUUACCGAAAUACCCAAAUACUGUAGCCUCCCUCAUUUAUAAACCAGUUGAUAACAGUUAUCCUAUAGCAUUUCAGUUAUCGGCGAAAUGAUUCAAUAUUUGUCUGGUUAUGUUAAUAUACUAUAUUUGCUUACUGAUACUUUUUAUUACAAAGAGAAACGUGAUUUUUGACGUCAGUGAUUUGAUCUUGACGUCAGUGCGGGCGUUCCCCAAGGUGGUUUUCUUUCUCUUCUUCUGUUUUCUGUGUUUAUAAACUCUGUCACUAGGCUUAUAUCUUCUAAAUUCCACCUCUACGCAGAUGAUCUCCAGCUAUAUCCCCACUUCUCGGAGCCUGACGUUGAAUCGGCUAUUGCUGUGAUGAACAGUGACCUGAAGUCUAUCAGUGAAUGGGCAAAAGCCUACGGUCUGCAUAUUAAUCCGGGAAAAUCACAGGCUAUCAUUAUCGGGGGAGGAAAUCGAGGGGUUUCUGCCCUCCACUGGGGAUGGCGGCCGGGGCAUUUGGAGUCGAACCAACUAAAAACUUCCUGUCGCUCACCAAACCUCGUCCGAACCUCACAUGAGACAGAACUUAUGAAAAGGCUAAGGUGGGAAAGUGAAGCAUUUGGUGCGGAGCACAUCCCUCUCAUCACCCUCCGCCUCAACGUGAUGACAUAGGUUUCCUUAUAGUUAAGUUUAGCAGUUGAUACUUGCUGAUAGAGAUGGCGCGACAUCGUGAGACGCAUCAAGUCUGCCCCUACCAACACUGCAUGACGAUCACGACCACUCUGUCAAGAGUGACACGAUUGAGAAGAAGAAGAAGAAGAAGACUUGUAUAUUUCGAGCGGCGCCGGCAGAGUGCAUUCGGAAAGACCUACAUCAGCAUUGGGUGGACCCGAUUGAUGAAAAAUUUUCAAAUUAUUAGAAAUUUCUUACAACGCCUCAUUAAGUUGGACUAUGACAGAUGAAUAAAGCUACCAGUUUGUAUAUACUAACUAUGUACAUAAUAUUAUAUUUUUUAACAUUUACAUAAAUAAAAGAGAAAAAACUACACUCUAUCUUCCGUUAUGAUAUAGACUAUAUUAUUAUCAGUUAGGUAAGAUUAACAUCUAUGGUCCUAGAAUUAAUAGGUCUUCUUUUGUAUUGAUUUAUUGGAGAAAAUUGGUUGGAAACGAUGAAUUACAAGAGUCCGUUCUGCUCCAGAUUAAAACACAAGAAGUAUAUCACGUCUAAAUUAAAGUCUUAAAUAAAAUUUUCUUGGGAGUGCUACAAUCAAAGAACGUUCAACAUUCGUAUUUAUAUUCUGAGAACAGCGACCGCUUAGAUAACUUCGAAACUUUGCCAUUUCGGAGACGGCCGUUGCUCGCUUCGGAUAAAGUUUGUACUUGUUACAAGUUAAAGUUAAAAUUAAACAAUUGGUUGAUAUUUAUUGAUUUUGCAAUCAAUUCGUUUGAAUAAUGAUGGAAAAUAACGUUUGAUGGGUUUGAAAUGAUAUGAAACCCUAGUUGUUUAAAAUUUUUCAAGUCUUAGAUAUGAUCAGAAAUACGUUUAACAUGUACUCAGAGGUAUAUAAUUUUCGAUUUCGAGGGCUGAAGGGUGUGCACGUUCACGCAUCUAGAGUAAAUAAAAAGGGCCACAACAUAACAUAGUCCAGUUAUAAUUACAACGUAAAUAGAAAUAUACUAGGAUUUGAUUGAUGCUCAAUGUGAGUAGUUUUGGGGUUAAAAGCGAUUACUUUUACCCAACCUUUGGGCAAAUAUUUAGAUAAUAAGAAAAAAAUAAAAUAGUACGUAGCCAUAACAUGCUGCUGCGCCAGAAAGCUCCGUUGCUUGUUACUUUUAAGUUUUAGUCGCGAAUAAACGCUAGGAGUAACC